GCGAAGAAAUCAGGCCUAAGUUUGAAAAAUGAAAUGGGUUAACUCGAUAGAGGAUGUUUCCAAAGGUCGAGAAAAUAAUGUAGGACCUUUUACCAGGAGAAAGCUAAUUGUAUCUUUUACACUUUACAGUGUGCAUUGAGGGAAGUCAGGAAUAGUUUAAAUUAGGAUUAAAAAAUUGAACUAGGUGGAAAGGGGGUGUAGCAAGUAGAUUUAGGGCAGCUCACAGCCUGGCGUAAACGCAAGGUGCUGUCACACAGCUUAAGUUAUUUGUUUGAUUUAUUUUAAACAUUGAAAACAUACAACCCGUUGAGGAGACAGAUAGGGUUGGGGAAUUGAAAGGUUUUGUUUGUUUAGCAUAAUCUCUUUUGUUAUAUUUUAGCUUUAACAGGGAACAUGCCUCUCUGGAGCUUCUCUCCUGAUGCUACCCUGCCAAAGACCCUUAUCCAUAGAGACUAUGUCAGCUCCCAAACAGACAACAACAAACCAAAUCUAGCAAUAAAACAAAUUAAACAUUAAUAGUAACAAAGCAAGAACAAUACAGAAUCCACAUCUGAACCGAAGAAUAAAACAGUGAAAUAUGGAUUAUUAAAUAUUAGGUCUCUCUCGUCAAAGCCUCUGUUAGCUCACGCCAAGCGGUCGCAGCAGAUGGUUGCCCGUACCUGAGCCUGGUUCUGUCGGAGGUUUCUUCCUGUUAAAGGAGUUUUUCCUUCCCACUGUUGCCAAAGUGCUUGCUCAUAGGGCGUCACAAGAUUGUUGGGUUUUCUCUGUAUCUAUGAAGCGCCUUGAGGUAACUUUUGUUGUGAUUUGGCGCUAUAUAAAUAAAAUUCAAUUGAAUUGUAUUGAAGUAAACUUAAUGUGAUAAAUUAGGAAUUAGUUCAUUUCUCAAGUGAGAAAUGAAAAAGGGGGACUGGUGUUAGGAAUAAAAGAAAUAUUUUUAAUGUGUACUCUAAUAAUGAAGGCUUGUAGAGCAAGGCCACCUUUGACUCACAAACAAGUGCUCAGCCAGAUUGAAAAACAGGAAGUUUUAGUGCACAAGGCAUAUUAAUAGAUAUAGACACAAAAAAGAGGAACUCCCCAUACAAACAAUGUUCAAGACUGUGUGACGUGUAAAGUACCGAAAUAAUACCAUAUAAGUCACAGCUGAUGAUUCUAAUGUUAGAGAGCUCUUGCAACUGGCGUCUGAGCUGUGCAGAGGUCUCUCACCCCGGAAGAUGAUUGAAUAAAGAAAGACAGGUACUUAUGUAUGUCAGCAUAAGGUGGAGUCCAACAGAAGCAAGGCACCCUACAUGCAUACAGCAUUCACCAGGGGUUGCCAAAAUAAUAUAGAAAACAGCACAUGUAGUGAGAGAACACCCACCAAAAGUUCUGACUACACAUAGUGUGGUGGCAUAGGUGAACUCGCAGGCGUUCACUAUGACAUCAUUAGCACAACAGAGACUGAGUAAAGUUUUAGAUGCUCCAAAUCUGACAUUUACACAUGAAGGAAUCAAUCAGGAGAACCUCAUGAUUGUACUAAGAAAGCAGAAGUUGAAGGGAAAGUUAGGGAAGAUUUACAAGCAGAACCUAUCCCUGGAGCUGAGGAUUGGUUCAUAGAUGGCUGCUGUCAUCGUGAUGAAGAAGGAUCGAAAGCAGGCUAUGCUAUAGUCUGCAAGCAAGGAACUGAAUUUGAGCCCACGAGGAACUCCAGCAGUGGAAGGAGCCACGCUGGACUGGUCCUUAUGAGGUCGUUGCCAGAACAACUAUAGCAGGUCAACUAAAAGGGAAAGGCGAUGCCUGGUAUCAUUGGUCGCAGUGUGCGCCAGCACAUGAGAGCUUGCUAGAGGAAAACUCAUCUUUAACUAACACAGGUGUCAACGAUAACGAGCAGAGGCAAAAUAAAUCCUCUCACCUGUGCAACGGGCCAACCAGUAGUCUACCUGGGAGGCCGAAGAAAGAAGAGGAGCAGCGCAGAAGGUCGCCACGCCAGCAGAAAGGAGCGGUGACAAGUUGAGGACUCCACAAAAGCAGGGGAGUUUCAUUCCAGGAUAUAAAGUUUAUAUAACAUGAUGCAAACACACGAAUCAGAGACACAUAAUGAGAAAACUGAUUAGAAUGUUCCUUACAACUACAUGUUUAUUGUAUGCAAUGAUAUUAACUAUGGCUGUGUUGUUUAUUGUUUAUAUUUUGCAGGGCACUCCGGACCAGUUGUCUGAACACGGAGGCCAGUCCAGCCCAGCACUUCCUGAGACUGUACUUGCCAAUAUGGGAUCGGUAAAAACGACAAAAGCGCGAGGUGUCAGGUAAAGGUGAUGAGUGUCUCAGCAUGAAUAAUGGCAUAGAGUUGAAUUAUGUUAAAGGGUCUACCAGCUCAUUCAUGUUUGAUUUGUGUGGCGUCAUUAAGUGUACAGGAGCUAGUAGUAGCUGGAGAGCAUAUGAUGUAUGGGUCUGCAAUCACCCCAUGAUAUGCUUAGGGUAAAUUUAGUUGAUGCAAAGUCUAAGCCGUUCAGAGAAACCUUAAUCACCAUUCUGACUGAUCAGAUGGUAACUUCGGGAACAGUAGCUCAAAAGGAACAGGAACCAAAAGAGAGAUUACUUCUGACGACAGAUUACUCUAGACUGAAGCCUAAGGAUUUGAUAAAGCGUGCCACCGGUUUCAAGGACAGUAACCUCUGGCUUGAUUGGGUGGCUCAAAAUGCUAGAGAACAACAUGUAUUAAAGGCUAUUCCACAA
ensembl:lncRNA